ACUGGUGUGUCGGAGUGGUUAACGAGUUUGACUUGAAUGGACUCUAUUCAUCUAUCAAAUGCCGAGAGGCGCGCAGGUUCAAAUCCUGUCACCAGUG